rnacentral:lncRNA from 1 species
UUUCCUUUUCCUUUGAGAUCUUCUCAAAUAUGCCAAUUGUGAUUGUUCUACAAGAUCAUCAGCGGCGACAUCAACAUCAUGUGAGAGUUCUUGGAUGUUAUUUUGUUGUUCACCCUCAUCAAUACUCUCAUUGAUUUGAGGAAAAAUAAUAUCUCGGACAGGAGAUGAUAUGGGAGAAUUAACCUGAAUCUCCUCAAUAUCAAAAUUAACCUGAAUCUCCUCAAUAUCAAAAUUAACCCUUCGAGAUUUUUCACUCCCACUGAUUUCGCCAUUUUCUAGGAAUUUUGCAUUACCAGAUUCUACUAUUCUUAUACUAUGAUUAGGGC